rnacentral:rRNA from 1 species
UACGGAGGGAGCUAGCGUUGUUCGGAAUUACUGGGCGUAAAGCGCACGUAGGCGGCUUUGUAAGUUAGAGGUGAUAGCCUGGAGCUCAACUCCAGAAUUGCCUUUAAGACUGCAUCGCUUGAAUCCAGGAGAGGUGAGUGGAAUUCCGAGUGUAGAGGUGAAAUUCGUAGAUAUUCGGAAGAACGCCAGUGGCGAAGGCGUCUCACUGGACUGGUAUUGACGCUGAGGUGCGAAAGCGUGGGGAGCAAACAGGAUUAGAUACC